rnacentral:piRNA from 1 species
UGGAAUGUGUGACAAGUUAACCUACUGCCA